rnacentral:lncRNA from 1 species
GGUCUUUAUCACUUAUGGUUUACCAUUUAGAAAUGCAUAUCACUUAAUUAAAUGGAAAAGGGGGAAUAACUCUCAUAUGGAGUCUCCGUAAAGCUUCGGUCCAAAUGAAUAUCCUAAUCCUGAAGAUGUAACGAGCAAUUUGGUAAAAUAAAUUUGUCGUAAUCUUUAACGGUUGCGAAGGAGUAGUGGCCACAAGAAAAACAGUGUUUGGGGAGAUAACUCUUACAACGUAAAGUAUUUUGUUACGCAGUUGUAAAUUUUUUAAAGCGUAUAAACUAUACGAUAUCAUAUUCCAAAUAUCUAAGCGACAUCUUUUGAAACAUCAAUAAUACGCAAGAAAAAAAUU